GAACGCUGGCGGCGUGCUUAACACAUGCAAGUCGAACGAGCUUAUUCAUUACGAUUCCCUUCGGGGAUGACGAUCUAUAAGCGAGUGGCGGACGGGUGAGUAACGCGUGGAUAACCUGCCAUAUACUGGGGGGAUAACAGCUGGAAACAGCUGCUAAUACCGCAUGAUACUAUAAGGCCACAUGACCAUAUAGCCAAAGCUCCGGCGGUAUAUGAUGGAUCCGCGUCUGAUUAGGCAGUUGGCGGGGUAAGGGCCCACCAAACCGACGAUCAGUAGCCGACCUGAGAGGGUGACCGGCCACAUUGGGACUGAGACACGGCCCAGACUCCUACGGGAGGCAGCAGUGGGGAAUAUUGCACAAUGGAGGAAACUCUGAUGCAGCGACGCCGCGUGAGCGAUGAAGUAUUUCGGUAUGUAAAGCUCUAUCAGCAGGGAAGAUAAUGACGGUACCUGACUAAGAAGCUCCGGCUAAAUACGUGCC
rnacentral:rRNA from 1 species